AGGUGGUCGCUUGAGUUGCAGU
rnacentral:miRNA from 1 species